ACUCAAAAUUAACUAAUUAAAGCACUUAACAUGCAAAGACCAAGCUAAUUAGGGAUUUCAUGUAUGACACUUGUAUUCUCAGUUUGUGACUGCACAGGCACUCCUUUCCAUUGCUGAACCACCAAUCUGCACACAAUCUUCAGCUGAUUAUCUAAAACUCAGCUCAAAUGCAUUGAAUGGUUGAAGGCUCACAGAACCAGUAAUUUUGAGGAGUGCCCAGGUUGCCUUGGCAACAUUCAGGGUUGAAUCACGCUCCCAUCUGAUGCCACUGGCUUCUGGAGGUCAUGCCUUUCUUGGGCCCCCCCUGUGUCGCAGAGUGCUCAUCAGCUGGUUAUGAUCCCAGAGACGGCUGGUUUCCCAAACUGAACUUCUGCCUUGCCAGCUGGCCACCUGUACUUGAAUAGCAAAGCUAAGCAGCAAAGGAAUUGAGGAUGCAAUAGGCAAGGCUAGAGAUGGCUUCUCCUGCCUUUUUCCUGCAUCACUCAAGCCGCAGCUGUUGCCCAUGAACAAAGUGAGGGCUCCACUGGCUGCAAGGCACAGUCAAGGCACAAAUGUCCAAAGUGAACAUGGAUCUGGGAAUGCAAAGAAAGUUCCAAGUCUGUCUUUACAAUAUCAGAACUCAAAUGCUGGAUAAUGAGAAACAUAGUGUAAGAGCCCUCUGAAAAGGAUGGGGGUUAGUCUGAUGAAAAUUUUGACUGCACCUUGAAUAGUUGCUAAUUUGUUCAGUGCUUAGUACGUGAACUGGGAAAUAUGGAGAUCCAUUUUCCUAAAUCUGAAACAGUUUCUCACUUGGAAAGGAAAACUUUCAUAACAUACCUAUAGAUGAGGUGGGAAAGAAGUCUGAGGCUUCAAUGGUCGAUGUCUUCAAAGAGAAAGGGAUGAAGGGGUGUGAAAAUUCUCACCAAGGAGUCUGAAUUUAUUUCACAUUGAAGAGAAAAGCUGCUUCUAAUACUGUCUUGAUGAGGUAAAUGACUGGCUCUGAGCAAAUUGGACUUGAGACCAAUCAAACAAGGUUUGUGGAGGUCUGACCUAGGACACUUGAAACUGUAUGUGCUAUGCUUUGGCGGACUCAGUCCAGAUUUGUUUAUAUGUAUAUGAAGUGGCUUAAAAGCUACAUCUCAUUUUUUGUUUGAAUUUUUUUUUCCCCAGACUUUAAAGGUAACAAGAUUACAGUGACAGCUGAGUGUUGGUUAGCCUUGAUCUGUUUUCAGAACGCUAGAUGAUACUGUCUUUUUCUUGGAUACAUGGCUCAGGUCCCGGUUUUGUUGGGAUCAGUGGGUAUAUGAAGUAUUGGUCUCUCCCUGCUGCACCCUGCCAGCCAAACCUGCAUUGGCUCAGUCACUCAUCCUGACUAAGAGCAGAAAAGAACCACAGUGAAACUGAGAUACUGAAGAGCGGACAGAACUCCACUACUAAAGAAGUAGUAAAGUAGGAAAAUAAACCAGAGAGAAAAAGAGUUCUGAAGCUGUCUUUAGGAGAUGAAUCCUCUGCCUGGAAUGGGAACUUCUGCUCUGAGACCAUCAGAAAACCCUCUGAGCUGGAGCAAGGCUGAAGGCUCCCAAUGUGCCAUCUGGUAUCAUCCCAAAGACCAGAUGGGUGCUACUUUCUCAUGCACUGUAUCUGCUUCUGGAUCACUUCCUACAUGCAGAGUGCUAUACCAAUAGGUGCAUAUAACAAUAGGCACUGGUGAUGUCACGACCCAGGUGCAUUUUCUGGAUCUUCCCACUUUUUCCAGUGAUAUUUGAGAAGAGCUACCACAAGAUUUAGCUCAGAUCACUAUCAGCAAAUGUGCAGAGAAAUACCUCCAACUUUCCUGGAGCUUGGGCCAGCUCCACUGUCGCAGCUGUGCCUAUGAUAAUACAGAUCAGCCUUAGAGCUGUGCCAGUGAAUGCACAUAGAAGAUUAGUGACUGAACACAAGGUCUGGUUCAUUGAACUGAAAAGUCAACCUCAAGAAGCAAGCAUGUACAGCAAGUUACUGUAGCAGACAGUAAUUCAGAGGAAAUAGGGAGUUGCCUAGGACCUUGCCUGCCUGUCUUAAAUGUAUUGACACGUAUCAGUGGCACUAGUACUCUUGAUCAGAGCAUAUGUGCGUGUGCCAUGGACAAGUGCAUUGACUCCCUCUGGUUCCAUGCAUACAUGAUGCCUUAGCAUGCUCUCAGCAUUCAGAGGGAUCAGCCCUGGUGUCUGUGCUACUAGAUAUUAAAAGAAUGGCAGGGAUCUGACAGCAAUUUCCCAUCUCUGCAAGUUGCACAUGUGGCAUCUUUUUAUGCCAUCAAUAUGGAAGAAAAGACCUACCAGUACAAGCUAAGGCCUAGCUCAUACCUUUUCUAUUUUAAGUAUGUUUCAGCUGUAUUGUUAUCUUUGAAAUUGUAUCAUUCAGUGCAUCAACAUAGAGAAUGUGGAGAGCUGAGGUGAAUACAACCUUCAGAUCUCCAAUUAAGGGUAUGAAAGAUUCUAAAUUAUCUUUCACACCUGGUUCUACUGUGAUAACAGUUAUGAGAUGUAAAAGUAGAGCUACUUCACCAACUAAUGACAUUACACUGUACUCUAUUAUGGCACAGGAAUCCUUUUAUCUGUUCAACUGUGUCUCUUUGGAGUAAAUGAGUUUGUUUAACACACAUCACUGCAGUUCCAUCAGCCCUACACAGCCAAGGCCUGAAGUUUAGACUCCCUAUACAGGUAUUUAAGUAACAUUCUUUGUUUUUCCUACAACACAGAUCUCUAAACUCAUGUCACCUCAGUCUAAUUAGAUCACAUUAGAGAAAUUAUAGCUUGGCAGCAGAACCUGGCCUUCCAAGGCUGUCUUGCCAAUGCUUCUGCUGUUGCAGAAACAGCACCUGCUUGCAUGGAAGUGAACCAAGAAAUUUGUGAUGAUUUGCUCCUAGAGGUCAUCAGUUGUGUUCUGACAUGAUCACUAGAGCUCAUGGAAAUAAGCAAAGGUGUGAGAAAGCACGAAAUGGGUGUAGCACAGCUAUCCAACUCUGUAUUAUGAGUGAGGCAAAUAAAAGCUGCUUUAGACCAGCUGAGUACACCAA